CUUUAUUGGAGAGUUUGAUCCUGGCUCAGGACGAACGCUGGCGGCGUGCCUAAUACAUGCAAGUCGAGCGGAUCUUCGGGAGCUUGCUCCCGAUGGUCAGCGGCGGACGGGUGAGUAACACGUGGGCAACCUGCCUGUAAGACUGGGAUAACUCCGGGAAACCGGGGCUAAUACCGGAUAAUUCAUUCCCUCACAUGAGGGAAUGCUGAAAGACGGCUCCGGCUGUCACUUACAGAUGGGCCCGCGGCGCAUUAGCUAGUUGGUGAGGUAACGGCUCACCAAGGCCACGAUGCGUAGCCGACCUGAGAGGGUGAUCGGCCACACUGGGACUGAGACACGGCCCAGACUCCUACGGGAGGCAGCAGUAGGGAAUCUUCCGCAAUGGACGAAAGUCUGACGGAGCAACGCCGCGUGAGCGAAGAAGGCCUUCGGGUCGUAAAGCUCUGUUGUCAGGGAAGAACAAGUACCGGAGUAACUG
rnacentral:rRNA from 2 species